rnacentral:rRNA from 2 species
AUUAUUUAAGAGCUUAACAUUGUAAGUAAAUAAUAAUUAUGAAAGCAAAAAAUUAUGGCGGUAUUUUAAGCUUUUCAGAGGAAUUUGCUCUUUAAUGGAUAAAACACCAAAAUCUUACUUAGAUUUGUGAUUUCAAUUUGUAUACCACUAUUAAAACAAUUUAUAACUUUAAUUGUUUAAAUUUACAAAACUAAAAUAUAUUAAGUCAAGGUGCAGUAAAAAUUUAAGGAUGAAGUGAAUUACAUUACUUUUUAGUGAGAUAAGUUUAUAACAAUAUUUAGGAU